CUGUAUUAUAUAAGAUAAGAUAAGAAUAGGUAUAGAAAAUUAAAGAGAAUAACAGGCAAAGAUGGUUGAACUCCCACCCGAGCUUAAAGAAACAUGAUUUAGAAUUUUUGGCCUCUGGACUAGGCACAUUAAAACAUAUAUUGCAGGAUGCAAAUUCAAAAAUUCAAACUAGUGAAACUUACCUCUGAGGAGUAAUAAAAGAGAAUGCUGAUCAUAUGCUUGAAGCCUGUAUACUUUGUUAGCAGUUGAUAUAAUUAUUUUGUACAUAUGUAGAUAUCAUUGUAAUUACUUAAAUACCUGUAUAUAUAUAAUUUUUCUUAUGUUAUUUAAUCAAGCUUUGUUUCUUUGGUUUGUUUUUUUCAUCCUGAAGGUAAAUGUGACGUGAACAUAAAGUUUUUGUUGAAUCAAAACAUCAAUUACAAAGGCAAACUUAGAGGUGAGCUAGAACUCAUUGAUGGUCGUCCACUCGCACACAGUUUAGCUGGCUAUGCCAGAAGUCACUGGAAAGACUUGGGCUAUGCUUCUGUAAAUCAGGUCAAGGUUAUUGAAGAGUCAUUCAAGCAAAGGACAGAUGACAAAGCUUCAGAUGAAUUUCUCCAAGUCAUGUCGCAGCGUGGAUACACCAUCGGAGAAAUGUUGGAAUAUUUUUAUCAAGAACAAGCACACAAUGUGGUUGAUGUUGUUUUAGAAGUGCAUAAAGACUGUCAUUAUUGCAAUCAACUUGGGAGGAAGUGAUGCCUUCAUGUUGUUUUUAAAAGUCCACACAGAGCUUUUACUUUGAUCAAUUUAAGAGUGAUCCUUUGGCAUUUUAUUGAUUCUUUUAAUGUGUUAAAGCUGAACUAUAUCAGCUUGGGAUGAGAUGACCAUGAAUAAUAAAGUCAGUAGAUGCAAACAAAUAAAGUGAAGAGGGAAAACCUUUGGCUUUCUGUAAUGAGGAUCUUGAGCUUAAAACUUUCUGACACUUUAGUGAUCACAAUAAUCCUGUAGACCACUGAAAAAGGUGUAGGCCUACUUAUCACUCUUGGAUGGCUGCCUGGUUGUGCAGUAUGCGCGAUGGACUGUCUGUUUUGGUUAUCUUGAUAAUCCCGGUUCAUACCCUGCCCAUUGCUGAACCAGUUGACGUUUGUGGCUAGGAAGUAGAAUUAUCUUCAACUUUGAAGGAACAUCCAAAAUAUGUUAAACACUUUACAAACUUUUUUCUUAGACUGCUUAGUUUUGAAGGGAAAAUCAUAAUAACACUUCCAUCAUUGUUCUUCUACUUAUAUAUAUCUCAUUCCAGCUGAUGAUGCUUUUAGUGAGUUAUUUUAAUAUUUUAUUUGAAAUGUUCCAUUUUCAUGUCUGCUUAUUCAAGAAAAUUGUCAUAGUUUUUAUGACAAAGUUCUUUUUAUUUUUUUGCACAUCAGCACUCAUAAGGCCAUGCCAUGCUUUAAUAAGACUGUUUAAUUUAUUUAGUUAAGUUUUACUAAAAACAGUUUAAGUGAAAUCUGAGCAUUUCUUUUAACUUUAUCUUUGUUACCGAUGAGUUAUACACAUUUUAACGAAAUAUUCUUUUAAUAUAGUAUUUCCUAUUCUAACUAAUUUAAAUGUUUCUUUUACUUCAAGCUGCUGCUAGGUAAAAACUUAACAAGUAGGCUACUGGUAACAUAAACAGUUGUUUUUUAUAGAAAAAACAAUUCCUCCUUUAUAUAGCUGACCAACCUCUGAAAGAGUGAUUUUUUUUUUGCUCUUAAUGAAUGAUAAGAUUUUUUUUAUUUUUAAACCCCCCUUAUUUUCCCCUCCCCCUGAAAAAAUCCUGGUUACCCUUAAAUGCAUCUAUAAAUUUACUCCAAGUAAAAAAAUUCCAGCUAUAGAUCUAGACUUAGAAGGCAGAGCUCAAAUGUUCUUGAAGGAAUACCCACUGUGAUGUAUGUCAGUUUAAGAUGAUUGUCUAUAUCAAAUUUAAUUUUAGAAUGCUUUUAAAAAUUAUAACAAUCCAACUUGAGUUUUCCCAGUGUGACCAAUUAACUAGUAAUUCUUUCCCCAAAGAUAUCAAAAUCGAAAACCUUAUAUCCAUCUAGGUUUUUCUGACCUUCUGACCUUUUCCAAUGAAGACUUUGCUAACUGAAUAAAGGAAUUGCAAAAAAAAAUAAUGUCUCAGGAUGAUUUUAGCCUGCCUCCUUUUGAAAACAAAAUAGAAGGUAAAAAAAAAAA
rnacentral:sRNA from 1 species